rnacentral:rRNA from 1 species
ACGAACAGUUGGAAACGACUGCUAAUAUCGCAUACGAUCUAAUCUCGGCAUCGAGGAUAGAUGAAAGGUGGCCUCUACAUGUAAGCUAUCACUGAAGGAGGGGAUUGCGUCUGAUUAGCUAGUUGGAGGGGUAACGGCCCACCAAGGCGAUGAUCAGUAGCCGGUCUGAGAGGAUGAACGGCCACAUUGGGACUGAGACACGGCCCAG